rnacentral:rRNA from 1 species
UGGAGAGUUUGAUCCUGGCUCAGGACGAACGCUGGCGGCGUGCUUAACACAUGCAAGUCGAACGGAAAGGCCUCUUCGGAGGUACUCGAGUGGCGAACGGGUGAGUAACACGUGGGUAAUCUGCCCUGCACUUCGGGAUAAGCCUGGGAAACUGGGUCUAAUACCGGAUAGGACCUUUUGGCGCAUGCCUUUUGGUGGAAAGCUUUUGCGGUGUGGGAUGGGCCCGCGGCCUAUCAGCUUGUUGGUGGGGUGACGGCCUACCAAGGCGACGACGGGUAGCCGGCCUGAGAGGGUGUCCGGCCACACUGGGACUGAGAUACGGCCCAGACUCCUACGGGAGGCAGCAGUGGGGAAUAUUGCACAAUGGGCGCAAGCCUGAUGCAGCGACGCCGCGUGGGGGAUGACGGCCUUCGGGUUGUAAACCUCUUUCAGCAGGGACGAAGCGCAAGUGACGGUACCUGCAGAAGAAGCACCGGCCAACUACGUGCCAGCAGCCGCGGUA